AACGAACGCUGGCGGCAGGCUUAACACAUGCAAGUCGAGCGAAGACUUCGGUCUUAGCGGCGGACGGGUGAGUAACGCGUGGGAACGUGCCUUUCACUACGGAAUAGUCCCGGGAAACUGGGUUUAAUACCGUAUACGCCCUUCGGGGGAAAGAAUUUCGGUGAGAGAUCGGCCCGCGUCUGAUUAGGUAGUUGGUGGGGUAAUGGCCUACCAAGCCGACGAUCAGUAGCUGGUUUGAGAGGAUGAUCAGCCACACUGGGACUGAGACACGGCCCAGACUCCUACGGGAGGCAGCAGUGAGGAAUCUUGGACAAUGGGGGCAACCCUGAUCCAGCCAUGCCGCGUGAACGAUGAAGGCCUUAGGGUUGUAAAGUUCUUUCAACGGUGAAGAUAAUGACGGUAGCCGUAGAAGAAACCCCGGCUAACUCCGUGCCAGCCGCCGCCGUAACAC
rnacentral:rRNA from 1 species